rnacentral:rRNA from 1 species
UAGGGAAUCUUCCACAAUGGACGCAAGUCUGAUGGAGCAACGCCGCGUGAGUGAAGAAGGCUUUCGGGUCGUAAAACUCUGUUAUUGAAGAAGAACGUUGUGACAGUAACUGGUCAUGCAGUGACGGUAUUCAAUCAGAAAGUCACGGCUAACUACGUGCCAGCAGCCGCGGUAAUACGUAGGUGGCAAGCGUUGUCCGGAUUUAUUGGGCGUAAAGCGAGUGCAGGCGGUCUUUUAAGUCUGAUGUGAAAGCCUUCGGCUUAACCGAAGAAGGGCAUCGGAAACUGGGAGACUUGAGUGCAGAAGAGGAGAGUGGAACUCCAUGUGUAGCGGUGAAAUGCGUAGAUAUAUGGAAGAACACCAGUGGCGAAGGCGGCUCUCUGGUCUGUAACUGACGCUGAGGCUCGAAAGCGUGGGUAGCAAACAGGAUUAGAUACCCUGGUAGUCCACGCCGUAACGAUGAAUACUAAGUGUUGGA